rnacentral:lncRNA from 1 species
UUAUUAGUCAAGUUAACUUUAGUAGAAAGUGUACAUUAUUAUAAAUAAUCUCUUUUGUGGAUUUAUCUUUGUUCAACAACAUUUAUUGGAAUCAUAUUAAUUAUAUAUUGAAACAUGUUAAGAGUUGUUUGAAAGAAAACUAAUUUGCAGUUUCUUAAACUUUUUCGAAUAAAGAAUGUCUACGAAACUUUCUUGAUCAAUCAACAUUUUUUUUUACUAUGAAACAUUUUAUCUCCACAUUUAUCACCAUUAAGUCAUCUUGUUUGGGUCUAUGGCUUUAAAAUCUGCAUUGGUGAAAAUGAUAUGUGGCAUUGGUAAAAUCUUCAACUUUCUUGAUAUUGCAUUAACAGAUUCGACUUCCACUGUCCUCAGAAGCUUCUUUUUUAGUGGUUGUCAAGGACAUUCCUCUAGUGAACCCUAUUGCAACGGAGCUUCUAUUGGUGGAUCCUAUCUCCUACGAUCAUUGUUAUCAUUUUCACAUCGUUUAUAAUAUCUUCUCCUUUCUUUAUACCUUUUGUGUUUUCUUUGACUUGUCCUCCCCUC